UACGUAGGGCGCAAGCGUUAUCCGGAAUCACUGGGCGUAAAGGGCGCGUAGGCGGCCCUUCUUGUCGCGUGUGAAAGCCCCGGGCUCAACCUGGGAAUGGCGCGCGAGACGGGGGGGCUGGAGUUCGGGAGAGGAGGCGUGGAAUUCCCAGUGUAGAGGUGAAAUUCGUAGAUAUUGGGAAGAACACCGGUGGCGAAGGCGGCGCUCUGGACCGAGACUGACGGCUGAGGCGCGAAAGCGUGGGGAGCAAA
rnacentral:rRNA from 1 species